rnacentral:lncRNA from 1 species
CCCUAAGGACCAGGUCCUCCAAGCCCAGGGCAGCACCUUCAUCACAGCACUGUGAGGCCACUGCACUGAGAACUGGUGUUACGGAGGAUCAGUAUGGACUUGUGAGUGAGGAAGCUAUCCUGUUAAGCAUGCUCAGUGACGCCUGUAACACUGGGCACUCUACUGUGUCUCUACUGUGUCUCUACUGGACUCUACUGGACUACUGGUCUCCACUCUGUCUCCACUGGACUCUACUGGACUCUACUUGGUCUCCACUCUGUCUCCACUGGACUCUACUGGACUCUACUGUGUCUUCACUGUGUCUCUACUGGACUCUACUGCACUACUGGUCUCCACUCUGUCUCCACUGGACUCUACUGGACUCUACUGUGUCUUCACUGUGUCUCUACUGGACUCUACUGCACUACUGGUCUCCACUCUGUCUCCACUGGACUCUACUGGUCUCUACUGUGCCUCCACUGGACUCUACUGGACUACUGGUCUCCACUCUGUCUCCACUGGACUCUACUGGACUACUGGUCUCCACUCUGUCUCUACUGGUCUCUACUGUGUCUCUACUGGACUCUACUGGUCUCUACUGGUAUCUACUGUGUCUCUACUGGUCUCUACUGGACUCUACUGGACUACUGGUCUCCACUCUGUUUCUACUGGACUCUACUGGUCUCUACUGGACUCUACCGGUCUCUACCGGUCUCUACUGGACUCUACUGG